CCUGGCAGGGCUGUGCCGUUAAUCCGGGUACUGAACCGGGAAUAACGGGGGGGGGGUCACCGGCAGCUCCCCGCUGAGCAUCCUCAUCAGUGCGGAUGCCACCCCCGGCCACUUAAUGAUGGCGAACUAAUGAUGAAUUAGCCGGUUGUGCCCCGCGAUGCGCUCGGGCUUCCUACGGGUUUAACGGGUUUGCUCCUCCCCGUCUCUGCUUCUGCCUCUGCCGACGGAGCCGCACCGGGAGCCGAGGAGGAGGAGGAGGAGGAGGAGGAGGAAUGGAGCGGCAUUUGGCCCGGAGCAAAGCGCGGCUGCCCUCGCUGCUCCUGGCGCUGCUCGGCCUCGGGCCAGAGCUCCUGUUCGGCCAAGCCCGGCCCCAGCCCCGGCAGGUGAACGGUGUCCUGGGGGGGUCGGUGCUGCUGUCCCCGGCUCUGCCCCCCAACAGGACGGUGAAGGAGAUCGAGUGGAGCUUCUCGGCCGGCACCGGGGCCACCAUCCAGGUGGCAGAGCUGGGCCCCGGUGGCUUCGAGCGCCCGGACCCCAAGGACCGGUUCAAGGAGCGGCUGGAGAUGUUCAACCAGACGGGGCUGAGGAUCGCGGGGCUGCAGCGUGGGGACAGUGGGGUCUAUGGGGCUCGCAUCAAGCUGCACCCGGCCAUGGUGGAGGAUCAGUUCUUCAACCUCUCCAUCUAUGGUGGGUAAGGGUGAGGGUGAGGGGGGGCAGAAGCAGCAUGUGCUUAGUGUGGGCAUGGAGGUGGGGAAACUGAGGCACGGGGAUGGGAUAUCCCAGUGUCCCCAGCCUUUGCCUGCAGCCCCGCAAGCUCAUCCCAAGGCCAGAGGAUGGGCAGGAUGCAGCAUUCCCGACCUGAUCCAUCCCUUGUCCCCUGCCCAGAGUCGGUGCCGAGCCCCCGCACCCGCAGCCAGCUCCUGGCCAGCACCUUGGAAUGGUGCAACGUGACCCUGCAGUGCCAGGGCUCCGGGAAAGGAGCCGUUAACGUCACUUGGAAGCAGGAUAACAUCGAGUGGGAGCGGAGCUCGGAGCGGCACCAGCUCUCCCCCGACGGGACCACACUGCGGCUCUGGCUGCCGCCCGCAGCCACCAACGGGACCCUGGCGUGCACCGUCAGCAACCCCGCGGACCGCAGGGUCGUGCUCUUCGACCUGGGUGCUAUUUGCCAAGCGGG
rnacentral:lncRNA from 14 species